rnacentral:lncRNA from 1 species
GGGUGUUCCACCAAUGACACCAAUGCCAAGUACAACAGUCGUGCUGCUCAGCUCUAUAGGGAGAAAAUCAAAUCGCUCGCCUCUCAAGCAACACGGAAGCAUGGCACUGAUCUGUGGCUUGAUAGUUGUGUGGUUCCACCUUUGUCCCCUCCACCAAAGGAGGAAGAUUUUUUUGCCUCUCACGUUUCUCCUGAGGUGAGUGACACAGCGUGGGCAUCAGCAAUAGCAGAACCAUCUUCUUUAACAUCAAGGCCUGUGGAAACCACUUUGGAAAAUAAUGAAGGUGGACAAGAGCAAGGACCAAGUGUGGAAGGUCUUAAUGUACCAACAAAGGCUACUUUAGAGGUAUCCUCUAUCAUAAAAAAGAAACCAAAUCAAGCUAAAAAAGGCCUUGGGGCCAAAAAAGGAAGUUUGGGAGCUCAGAAACUGGCAAACACAUGCUUUAAUGAAAUUGAAAAACAAGCUCAAGCUGCGGAUAAAAUGAAGGAGCAGGAAGACCUGGCCAAGGUGGUAUCUAAAGAAGAAUCAAUUGUUUCAUCAUUACGAUUAGCCUAUAAGGAUCUUGAAAUUCAAAUGAAGAAAGACGAAAAGAUGAACAUUAGUG